AUUAAUGUUACCAAAAUGCCAGGGGUUCAGUCUAGGUCCUGCUGCUCACUGAAAAGGAAGCCAUUUACUAAAACAAGAAAUAUUUAUAGGGAAGAAGCUUAAUCAGGUGCUGCAGGCAACAAGAUAGGAGCUCAGUCUCAAAUCCAUCGUGCCAAGCAACUAAAGUCAAAGGUUUAUAUAGCAGGGAAAAAAUAUAAACACAUGCAGAAAAACAGAAAUUAUGGAGGUGUAAAGAAGAUGAUUUGGUCAACAGGAAGCAAGUGGUCAGUUAUGCAAUUGCAAUGGGUGAGGGGUCUGGCAUCUCAUUAUCCCAAUGGAGUAAUCUAGUUAUGUUUUAGUUCCUUGAUACUACAUGGGAGGCCUGAUGGUGGGCUGCCUGAGAAAGGAACUCUGAUAAGACACACUUUAAAACUUUCCAAGUUCAAGGAGGUAUAUUUGCCAAAGUUGAGGAUACACACCCAUGACAUAGCCUCAGGAUGUCCUCAUGACAUGUGGCCAAGGUGUUUGGGGCACAGCCUGGUUUGAUACAUUUCAGGGAGAAAUAAGACAUCAGUCAAUAUAUGUAAGAAGUACAUUGGUUCCAUCCAGAAGGGCAGGGACAACUCAAAGCAGGGAGGGG
rnacentral:lncRNA from 1 species